rnacentral:lncRNA from 1 species
AUGUGUUUUGCCACUAGAGAGCCCACGAAAUGGGCACAGGAUCCUGGGGCUGCGGGGAUGGAAAUUGGAAAGUCAUACAAUCAUAGAUCCAUAGAAUGGCAUAGGUUGGAGGAGACCCAAAGGCCCCCCCCCAGCCCUCCCCCCUCCGUGGACUGGCUGCCCUCCAGUUCAGGCUGCCCAGGGCCCAUCUCCAUAGGAGAGGUCCCCAUGGAGACCUGCAACAAUGGCAGAGGCUCAGGCACGCACCGUGCAUCCCCAGCACCUCGUGCAGCAGCCGCCGGUUCCUCUCCACCCUCUCAGCCAAGGACAGCGGCUCCGGGCCCGCCGUCACCUCCUUGCCAGCAGAAACCAGAGGGGGAGAGCCCCCCAGGCCCCCCCGCUCCCCCCAUGGCGCAGUGCCAUCCAGCAGCCCGUCGGUCAGAAAUGAUAUCCACUCGGGAAGGAAAGAGGAGACAGCUAACAGCGCAGUCACAGUACACCAUGAGUCCAAGCAAGCGGCAAGUCUUUGUCCUCACCUUUUCCACUUAGCCAAAGAGAAGAGUGGAGAAGGGGAUAGCAAAAGAGAAAGGAAGAAAGCAAGCACCCACAGAGGACUAAUCACACUCCAUAAUUACUUUGGACAUCUACAGGUCGGGGCGGCAGAACCAUGAGACCAACGUGGCAGGGAUGGGGAGGGGCCGGGGCGUUCUGCAGCCCCAGUGCCAGGAGGAUGAGGCCGCGGUUGGGCACCAAGCGGUGCCAGCAGCCCUCUCCUCUCCUCCUCCCA